GCAAAGAAUUCACCAUGGUUGGAAAAGUGCUUUCAAAAGGCCUCUGGGCUAAAGUUGUAGGAAGGCACAAGUGAGGUGAAGGCUACAAAAAUAUUUUGAAGGCUUUAGCUAUCCCUAGUACUGUUCAGAGCAUCAUUAAGAAGUGGAAAGCGUAUGGCACCCCCAACACCUUGGGCAGUGGCGGGCCGUCAGAUAUAUAUUUUCCCACAAAUAUGCCGUCCGUCCAAACUGGAUGACUGAGCCAGGAGGACAUUGAUCAGAGAAGCAACCAAGAGGCCAAAGGCAACUUUGAAGGACUUACAAGUUGUUAUGGCUGGGACUGGUUUGUCUGUGAAUGUGACAACAAUCUCACAGGCUUUACACAAAGCUGGCUUGCUGGCAAGGUGGCAAGAAAGAAGCCUUUUCUGAAAAGUGGUCUGGCGCUGAGCAGCAGGUCUGAACUUCAGCAGGUGCUGGAGAGGAGGAAGAGGGUGCAGACUGACUGGGAAGAGGAGGGAAAGAGCAGGACUCCUCUGGAGGAUGUGCUACUCAGACGUCAACAGAAACAAUUUGAGAGGGAGAAGGAACAAGACGAAAAGGUACGAGGUGAAGCCCAGUUGUUGGAGUUUGUUAAAGUCCGACAGAACCUAAGAAAGAUCCACUCAGCGGUCCAGAACAAGGCUGCAAACACCUGAAGUGCUACAGAAGAAUGCACCCAAAUUGUAAAAUAACUCUUGUCUUUUUCUGAGGUUUUCAGCUCUUACUUCCCUUCAAGUGUAAAAGUAACAACAAGGUGCAUGCUGAAAGACAAAUGCUAUUGAUGGACUUCUUAAAGAUAGACAAAUACAGUAGAACUGUUAUGUAUGUAUUCUUUCAUAGCUGUGUAAAGAAAUGUCAUCUGCCAAUUUGUCAGAUGUAAAAUAUUUAAACAUAUUUUUGCUUGAUAU